rnacentral:rRNA from 1 species
AGUGGCGCACGGGUGCGUAACGCGUGGGAAUCUGCCCCUUGGUUCGGAAUAACAGUUAGAAAUGACUGCUAAUACCGGAUGAUGACUUCGGUCCAAAGAUUUAUCGCCAAGGGAUGAGCCCGCGUAGGAUUAGGUAGUUGGUGGGGUAAAGGCCUACCAAGCCGACGAUCCUUAGCUGGUCUGAGAGGAUGAUCAGCCACACUGGGACUGAGACACGGCCCAGACUCCUACGGGAGGCAGCAGUGGGGAAUAUUGGACAAUGGGGGAAACCCUGAUCCAGCAAUGCCGCGUGAGUGAUGAAGGCCUUCGGGUCGUAAAGCUUCUUUUACCAGGGAUGAUAAUGACAGUACCUGGAGAAUAAGCUCCGGCUAACUCCGUGCCAGCAGCCGCGGUAAUACGGAGGGAGCUAGCGUUGUUCGGAAUUACUGGGCGUAAAGCGCACGUAGGCGGUUACUCAAGUCAGAGGUGAAAGCCCGGGGCUCAACCCCGGAACAGCCUUUGAAACUAGGUGACUGGAAUCUUGGAGAGGCGAGUGGAAUUCCGAGUGUAGAGGUGAAAUUCGUAGAUAUUCGGAAG